rnacentral:rRNA from 1 species
UACGUAGGGUGCGAGCGUUGUCCGGAAUUACUGGGCGUAAAGAGCUCGUAGGUGGUUUGUCGCGUUGUUCGUGAAAACCGGGGGCUUAACCCUCGGCGUGCGGGCGAUACGGGCAGACUUGAGUACUGCAGGGGAGACUUGAAUUCCUGGUGUAGCGGUGGAAUGCGCAGAUAUCAGGAGGAACACCGGUGGCGAAGGCGGGUCUCUGGGCAGUAACUGACGCUGAGGAGCGAAAGCGUGGGGAGCGAACAAG